GACGAACGCUGGCGGCGUGCUUAACACAUGCAAGUCGAACGGAAAGGCCUUUUCGGCGGUACUCGAGUGGCGAACGGGUGAGUAACACGUGGGUGAUUUGCCCUGCACUCUGGGAUAAGCCUGGGAAACUGGGUCUAAUACCGGAUAGGACCGCACUUUAGCGUGUGUGGUGGAAAGUUUUUUCGGUGUAGGAUGAGCCCGCGGCCUAUCAUCUUGUUGGUGGGGUAAUGGCCUACCAAGGCGGCGACGGGUAGCCGGACUGGGAGGUUGGUCGGCCACAUUGGGACUGAGGUACGGCCCAGACUCCUACGGGGGGCAACAGGGGGGAAUAUUGCACAAUGGGGGCAAGCCUGAUGCAGCGACGCCGCGGGGGGGAAGACGGCCUUCGGGUUGGAAACUCCUUUCGCCAGGGACGAAGCGUUUUGUGACGGUACCUGGAGAAGAAGCACCGGCUAACUACGUG
rnacentral:rRNA from 1 species